UUUUAUUUGAGAGUUUGAUCCUGGCUCAGGAUGAACGCUGGCGGCGUGCCUAACACAUGCAAGUUGAGCGAUUUACUUCGGUAAAGAGCGGCGGACGGGGGAGUAACGCGUGGGUAACCUACCCUGUACACACGGAUAACAUACCGAAAGGUAUGCUAAUACGGGAUAAUAUAUUUGAGAGGCAUCUCUUAAAUAUCAAAGGUGAGCCAGUACAGGAUGGACCCGCGUCUGAUUAGCUAGUUGGUAAGGUAACGGCUUACCAAGGCGACGAU
rnacentral:rRNA from 1 species